CAGCAGCCGCGGUAAUACCGGCGGCCCGAGUGGCGGUCACUAUUAUUGGGCUUAAAACGUCCGUAGCCGGGUUGGGAAGUCCUCCGGGAAAUCUGGCCGCUUAACGGUCAGAAUGCCGGAGGAUACUCCCAGCCUAGGGAGCGGGAGAGGCCGAGGGGAUUCCCGGAGUAGGGGUGAAAUCCUAUAAUCCCGGGAGGACCACCUGUGGCGAAGGCGCUCGGCUGGAACGCGUCCGACGGUGAGGGACGAAGGCCAGGGGAGCAAACCGGAUUAGAUACCCGGGUAGUCCUGGCUGUAAACGAUGCGGACUUUGUGUCGGACAAGCUAUGAGCUUGUCCGGUGCCGGAGGGAAACCGUUAAGUCCGCCGCCUGGGGAGUACGGCCGCAAGGCUGAAACUUAAAGGAAUUGGCGGG
rnacentral:rRNA from 1 species